UUGAAAACAGGCCUUACUGUUAAGUGUCAUCAAUGUAUAAAGUGCAUUGUCCGUUGGAAUGUUUUUCGGGUAAUAAAAGGACAGAAACUUCGAGGUGGAACUCAGACUUGUGAUAAUCUCGACGAAAAAAGGAUCACUCGAAGAAAUUUAGGGCGGAAAAGUUGGAGGAAUAUCGCUCAGAAGGAACUACGGCGCCGAAAGAUGGGAAAGACGAAACACAAGCGCUUGCUCGCUGCGGAAUAAUAGAACGAAACAAUCGUAAAGAGAUGUCGGACAUGCCUUGGGACAUUUAUGCACGCAAAUACAAAACUCGAUUUCGACAAUAUGCAUGAGUAAAAAUUGCAUGGAAUUUGGCUUUUUUGACUGAGAUAUAAACUGAACACUCUUCUGUUUACCUCCUUCAUUUUCAAGUUUUCCGCCUGUGCGUGAUUUUUGCAUGAAGUCUGGUCGUAUCAAGCGCAUGCGGAGUGAAUACAAGUGAUUCUGGGGCCCCAAUCACUUGUGUUUUCUCCAUCUUGACGACUAUAUAGUCCGGACAAAA